UCGGAUCAUCUUGAGCACAAGCGCCGUGGUCGAGAACAUUCUUUAUGCAGAUCAGUCCGACGACCAAACAAAGAAGCCAGUUCACCAUGUCGUUCUUCAGCUGGCUGCCGGCGACAACCUGACGGAGACCAAAGUCAGUGUGGACACAAGCAGAAGCAAAGAACCAGUUUAUGUCAUCAGUUUAAGUCCAUCAAUAAUGGAGGAAAGUAAUGUCAAGUACAGUGUCAUAUCAACCAUACAACGGGCCAUGGCUCGGAUAUGGCUCUGGGAUGGCAAGUCCAGGGCUCCACCUUGGCUCAUAGCUGGCAUGGAAGAGUAUAUAUGGAUGCAGGCUGGAUUUGGCCACCAUGAUAAAGAAACAGCACUACA
rnacentral:lncRNA from 1 species